rnacentral:rRNA from 1 species
UACGAAGGGGGGCUAGCGUUGCUCGGAAUCACUGGGCGUAAAGCGCACGUAGGCGGACUUUUUAAGUCAGGGGUGAAAUCCUGGAGCUCAACUCCAGAACUGCCUUUGAUACUGGAAGUCUUGAGUUCGAGAGAGGUGAGUGGAACUGCGAGUGUAGAGGUGAAAUUCGUAGAUAUUCGCAAGAACACCAGUGGCGAAGGCGGCUCACUGGCUCGAUACUGACGCUGAGGUGCGAAAGCGUGGGGAGCAAACAGG